CAGCAGCCGCGGGAAAACGAAGGGGGCUAGCGUUGUUCGGAUUUACUGGGCGUAAAGCGCACGUAGGCGGAUCGAUCAGUCAGGGGUGAAAUCCCAGAGCUCAACUCUGGAACUGCCUUUGAUACUGUCGAUCUGGAGUAUGGAAGAGGUGAGUGGAAUUCCGAGUGUAGAGGUGAAAUUCGUAGAUAUGCGGAGGAACACCAGUGGCGAAGGCGGCUCACUGGUCCAUUACUGACGCUGAGGUGCGAAAGCGUGGGGAGCAAACAGGAUUAGAUACCCCGGUAGUCCCUGUCUCUUAUAC
rnacentral:rRNA from 1 species